rnacentral:misc_RNA from 1 species
GGGUCUAUAAAGUUAGCACCAAACUCAUAGUGGGCGGUAGGGAUUUUGAUAGUUUCAUCUGCAGAUUGAGAAGGAAGUUCCAUAGGUCCCAUAAAAACGCUGUGACUAAGAGAGAAUUUCUGAUUAAGUCCCUUGGUAAAAUCAAAGCGCAUCCCCUCAAAAAGCUCUGGCUUUAAAGACAUAAGAGCUUCACGAUGGAGUUCUUCAUAGGGAAUAGGGCAAGGAAGGUUCAUAAAAUCGACUUUCUUCCCAACAUCAUUGAUCUUCUUGGCUGAUGCUGCAGCAGAUGCCUCGCCUAGCAUCGCCGUACCUGGAGGUACCAUCCCCGCCAUUGCAGUUUGUGAGCUUCAAUUGGACAAAUAAGAGGAACAGAGAGGAGUGAGAUAUGAAGACGGGAGACCAAGAGAGACG